rnacentral:rRNA from 1 species
GCUUAGAGUUUGAUCCUGGCUCAGAUUGAACGCUGGCGGCAUGCUUUACACAUGCAAGUCGAACGGUAACAGGUCUUCGGAUGCUGACGAGUGGCGAACGGGUGAGUAAUACAUCGGAACGUGCCUAGUAGUGGGGGAUAACUACUCGAAAGAGUAGCUAAUACCGCAUGAGAUCUACGGAUGAAAGCAGGGGACCUUCGGGCCUUGUGCUACUAGAGCGGCUGAUGGCAGAUUAGGUAGUUGGUGGGGUAAAGGCUUACCAAGCCUGCGAUCUGUAGCUGGUCUGAGAGGACGACCAGCCACACUGGGACUGAGACACGGCCCAGACUCCUACGGGAGGCAGCAGUGGGGAAUUUUGGACAAUGGGCGAAAGCCUGAUCCAGCAAUGCCGCGUGCAGGAUGAAGGCCCUCGGGUUGUAAACUGCUUUUGUACGGAACGAAAAGCCUGGGGCUAAUAUCCCCGGGUCAUGACGGUACCGUAAGAAUAAGCACCGGCUAACUACGUGCCAGCAGCCGCGGUAAUACGUAGGGUGCAAGCGUUAAUCGGAAUUACUGGGCGUAAAGCGUGCGCAGGCGGUUUUGUAAGACAGUGGUGAAAUCCCCGGGCUCAACCUGGGAACUGCCAUUGUGACUGCAAGGCUAGAGUGCGGCAGAGGGGGAUGGAAUUCCGCGUGUAGCAGUGAAAUGCGUAGAUAUGCGGAGGAACACCGAUGGCGAAGGCAAUCCCCUGGGCCUGCACUGACGCUCAUGCACGAAAGCGUGGGGAGCAAACAGGAUUAGAUACCCUGGUAGUCCACGCCCUAAACGAUGUCAACUGGUUGUUGGGUCUUAACUGACUCAGUAACGAAGCUAACGCGUGAAGUUGACCGCCUGGGGAGUACGGC